UUGUAACAUCGUUCUUUCGCUAUCCGCUUCUGGGGAAAAUCUUCAGAAUCAUAAUUUGUUAAUAGACACCUAUUCUCAAGACUGAUUUGGUUGAGUCCGUUAUUUAUUAACAGCUGAACGUUUGUUUUGAACUCAUGUUGAAUUCAUUUUAAAUGUGAUAGUUUAUAUUGGAAAUGUUUCGAACGUACUUUCGAUUAUUUAUAAACUUGACGGAAAUGUGAAAGUUUAUUAUUAAUUUAAUCAAAAAUAAUCUGGCAGCACCCAUUAUUUUUGAUUAAUCUGAAAUAUUGUAGUUUCUAUUGGAAGUAUUUUGAAUGCACUUUCACUUAUUUGCAAGCAUGACAGAAAUGGAAAUGGAAAAAAAUUUGCAUCUCAUUGACAAUCAAUGUAAAAGAUGGACAAAAGAUUAUCCUAAGUAGUGUGAAUAAAUUCCACAUCAAACUGGGAAUUGAAUGUAUGUCUUGCAUUCAGAAAGGUAUGGUUUCAUAAUAUGCUGGGAAAAAAAGCACUGAAAGCAUUGUUUUUAUAUAUUUAGAAAAAAAAUAUUUAUAUCAUAAAAUAUCUUGUAUAUAUUAUUAUAUAUAAGACUACUUUAAAGAUAAAUCUUACUUCAUUUUUUUAAUGAUCUAUAUUUAAUGUUUGUUAAAAAAUUUCCAUCGUGUAAUGAAAACUUAUUCGUGUGUACAUAUAAUAAAUCAUGUUCCACUAUUAAAAAUUGACUUCACAUAUUUUUUUGUGUGUGAUUGAUUUAACUCAAAUGCCCACUACUGUUAUACAAUGAAAUUAUUAAAAAAACGAGUUAAAUAUCCUUAAUACGGAAUCUGGGUGAAAUGAAUAAUGGCAAAUACUCCUGUUUGUCAUUCUUAUUUAGUGUGUAUAUUGAAUAUUGGAAUAGCUUUUAAAUUUAUUAAUUGUACUGGAAUCAAGAAUUUUUUAGAGCAUCAAUGUCUUAUAAUAUUUUCCUUCUAAAAAAAAUAAGUAAUAUUUUGAAAAAAUACAAAACUUUUAAAUAGUAUCAAUUUGAAUGAAAUAAUCAAA